CGUUAUUGGGUUUAUCGAACUGACUCUUUGUGGCAGUUUUUGACAUAGUCAACAUCAUAAGCGUGCAGCUAGUGGUCACCAAACUGAGCGUACGACGAUAUCCGUCGUUUUGCUCUUCAAAAGAUUCGUGACUAGUUCUAACAAGCCUUUGCAAACUUAUAAGUGUAUUCAGCAUCUCGGUAAGUUGGUAACAAUGGGCGACGUAUUCGUUGGACUUCUUGUUAUUGUCCUCUUUAGCACUGGCAAUGUGCUUUCCGCUGAUCAUGGUCAUCAUGAUGAAGAUGCGCAGGGAUUCAUGCACCAUCUGAGCCAUACAGCCAUCGGCGCCAUCGCCAUGUCCGUAACUAUCGUGGUGCUUCUGUUGGCUACGGGGAUUGGACUCUGCUGUCGCAAGAGACGACGUCGGGUGUACCAUGAGAAGCAGCUCCGACGAGCUUUACUGCGGCGCUCCAUUUCUGUUGUUGUAUAGAGCUGCCUUUUUCUGCUUUUCUCAUGCACAUAAAUAUUCAGUAAAAAAUGCUUUAGUACUCGUAUUAUAGUAUAAAUGGGUGGCUAAAUAAAUACAUCGAACUUCACAAAUAUUCGGAGUUUUAGUCUGAAGAUUUCUUGCGGUUAUCUUCAGUGUGUUUUGGUUCCGUUUCAUACUGCAGAGUAACUGGAACAAAUUUUUCGUUCCGAAGAUUUUAGUGCAAGGCGUUGUCUUUUCUUAAAUGUCCUGAAUAAAGUCUACGGUGUCAA